UACGGGGGGGGCAAGCGUUGUUCGGAAUUACUGGGCGUAAAGGGCGCGUAGGCGGUCUACUAAGUUGGAUGUGAAAACUCUGGGCUUAACCCAGAGCCUGCAUUCAAAACUGAUAGGCUGGAGUUCUGGAGGGGAUAGCGGAAUUCCUGGUGUAGCGGUGAAAUGCGUAGAUAUCAGGAGGAACACCGGUGGCGAAGGCGGGUCUCUGGGCCGAUACUGACGCUGAGGAGCGAAAGCGUGGGGAGCGAACAGG
rnacentral:rRNA from 1 species